GGGGCUUGACUGAGAUUACCUUGGAAAAAAAAGAAAAAAGAAAAAAAUUGAUUGGGGCAAAUGUGCCCUUUGGAUUUGGUUGCUACUAUGAUUAUUAAUUAACCUAACUGUAGAGAUAUCAAGUACAUUUCUCCCUCUUGUUUAUAAGAACCCAUGAGAGACAAGGCCAACUGCAGACACUGGGGAUGUCCUCAUGAUAGUGAGAUGAACUGCCUAGUUCUCUUCCGAUAUCUUUACUUUCCUCCAGUUUUGUUGCUUGCAAAACAACAGAAUCUACUCUCCAUGAAAUCCCCUGUUUCCCAUGCCCGGUUACCAGCAGGUCUUCCAGCUGAGCCUGCUGCACCAGGAUAAAACUGUGGCCACGAGCCAACACUGAACACUGCCACCUGAAGAAGUUGGCUCAAGUGCCGCCUGCUAACAACUGAGUAAGUAAACCUUUGCUGCAGAACCAACCAUGUACGCAGGCAUCUUCUAACAUUUUUC
rnacentral:lncRNA from 1 species